rnacentral:rRNA from 1 species
CUUGACGACCAUAGAGUGUUGGAACCACCUGAUCCCAUCCCGAACUCAGAAGUGAAACGAUACAUCGCCGAUGGUAGUGUGGGGUUUCCCCAUGUGAGAG